UGGUCCUGCACAUGCGCAAAGCCAAAUGUGAAGCCGCUGUCCGCUGAGUCAACAUGGAGCUGUUCCUGAGUUGGUGUUUUGAGGCAUUCGGUGCCCCUCGGCAGCGAUGGGGAAUAUGGCCGCAGCCAGGUCGCGCUUCCUCGUGGGGUACACCAUGUUGAAGGGGUGUCCAUUCCGUACGGAGGAUGAGAAAGCCUCUAAAGUCACAGGGCCGAGCGGUGGAGCUGUCUCACAGUUUGCUGCCCUUUAUCAUCUCCAAUAUGGAAAUUCUGGAGAUGCCCUGUGCUUCUGGGAGAUGUCUCUAGGGCAAAAGGGGAAGGAGUCGUGCUGCCCUUCACCUGGGAAUGCCUGCUUACACUUCAAAACCACGUUCAAAUAUCUCCUCCUCCAGGGAAUCCUCUGGAAAGAGGUAGAAGGCUUUGUGCCCUGCUGAAGGCCUUUCCAAAUCCUCAGGUGAAGAAGAUAUUUAUGGAUCACCAACCACUGCCCGUAGUACUUGAUGUUUGGUAAAACAGAAGAGCCACCAAAUCCCUAGCUUCAUGGACCUGGCAUGCUAAUUGUAAGCUGCAGACAUCGUGUUCCUUCAAAGUUCAAUAUUCAGCACAUAUCUCCUGAGGGACUGAAUAUUCAAAUGGACAAUGGCCAGACUAAAUACAUGGCAAUAGAACUCUGACCUACAACCUCUGACCUACAACCUCUGCAAGCAUGGGAAGCCAAACCACUACCUCUGCAGCAAUUCAUCUAGAUCAGGGGUGGGGAACCUCUGGCCCAAGAAAUUAUUUGGUGUAGCCCUGCCAAAGCCUCACCAAAGAGAAGCAGUUCCAGCCAUCACA